UGAGACCUAAAAAAAGAAUAACGAGACUCCCGUCUCAAUCAUCCGAGUAUUACCCAAUUCCACAUUUUAUAUGUAUCUUCACGCCGAUCUGGUGUGGUUGAUGAGUACUACCCAAUCUAUAUGUAUUUUCUAAACCCUAAUUCCACAUUCUCACUUUUUUGCUUCCUCAAUUUUCUUUUACAGGUAAAAGAUGAUGAAACGGAGGAAGAAAACCCUAUAUCACAUGAGAAACAAAGGCAGCCGGUUCAAGGACCCUUCUUUGUUCUGUACCCAAGAAACAAUUAAGCAGGUGAUCAUAAAAAGAAGCAUUAGGUAAAAGUACCAUUAGGUAGUUGAUAUUAUGAAUCAGGUAAUUCUAUUUAGGUUUAGUUUAAUUUUUAUGUUGAGUCCAUCUAUCAAAGGUUAAUUAUCAGUUGUAGUAAUAUGGUUAAUUGAUUUUAUAUAAGUUAGAGUAGAUAAAUUUUAACAGUUAGGGUUCAUUAGUUGAUGAUGGUGCUUUUGUUCGUUCCGUUCCACGAAUGGUUUAUUCUCUUUUUUUUCAAGUUAUAUAUAAGUAUUGAUUUCUGGUUUGCUUCAUUGUUGCAGGAUUGAGAGUUUUUUCUCUAUCCUUUUUCCUUCUAUUGUGGGUUUAAUCUAAGCUUUUGUUUUUUAACUUUGAGUGAACUGAAUAUAAAUUUUGUUGUUCUGUUGAAAUUUGUACACAUUUAUUAGGUGUGUGUUCACUAAAUGAUGCUUAUAAUUCGCAAGCCACGAACUAGAAACUUUAUGCCUGUGAAAGUACCGACCACAGACUCAUGUGCUUCACCUGUCUUUGUGAGAGCACCUACUGAAAAAAGGAUUGGCUAGCUUUAUUGUUGGUUUUCUUAUUAAAUAUAUAUCUCAGCUAUCGUCUCGAAUACUGGUGCUGCUGUAAUUGAGUGUAGAGCUGUUGAUGCGGAACCAGGAUGAGAUAAUCAAGUCUGGUUGGUAGUUGAGUGUCAGAAUUACAGUUGAUAAUGGUGCUGCUGGUAGUUGAGUCCCGGACUAGGAAUAGAGCAUGGUAGUUGAGUGUCAGAAUUCACUAAUCGACAUUGAAUAUUAAAUAAUGACGGCGUCAACGGAGAUUUCAUCAACAAAUGUAUGAAAAGACUGACUAUCUUAUUUACUCAUAUUUUCUACCAUUUUAUUUAAUGAGAAAAGUCGUACGACUUUAGUACAAUGAUGAACAUUGCAAAGAAGAAUGCAAGCAAUAAGGAGCAGUCAAGUUAGUUCUUAAAUUUCACAAACUGUUUUUCAG